AGUGAACGCUGGCGGCGUGCUUAACACAUGCAAGUCGAACGAGAACGGGAUAUAGCUUGCUAUAUUUGUCAGCUAAGUGGCGCACGGGUGAGUAAUGUAUAGGUAAUAUGCCUCUUACUAAGGGAUAACAAUUGGAAACGAUUGCUAAUACCUUAUAUGCCUUUAAGACUAAAGUCUGCAAGGGAAAGAUUUAUUGGUAAGAGAUUAGCCUGUAUUGUAUCAGCUAGUUGGUGAGGUAAUGGCUCACCAAGGCUAUGACGCAUAACUGGUUUGAGAGGAUGAUCAGUCACACUGGAACUGAGACACGGUCCAGACUCCUACGGGAGGCAGCAGUGGGGAAUAUUGCACAAUGGACGAAAGUCUGAUGCAGCAACGCCGCGUGGAGGAUGACACAUUUCGGUGCGUAAACUCCUUUUAUAUAGGAAGAUAAUGACGGUACUAUAUGAAUAAGCACCGGCUAACUCCGUGCCAGCCGCCGCGGUAA
rnacentral:rRNA from 1 species